rnacentral:rRNA from 1 species
UAGGGAAUAUUGGGCAAUGGGCGAGAGCCUGACCCAGCCAUGCCGCGUGCCGGAUGAAGGCCUUCUGGGUUGUAAACGGCUUUUCUCAGGGAAGAAAAAGACCUUGCGAGGUACACUGACGGUACCUGAGGAAUAAGCACCGGCUAACUCCGUGCCAGCAGCCGCGGUAAUACGGAGGGUGCAAGCGUUGUCCGGAUUUAUUGGGUUUAAAAGGGUGCGUAGGCGGCUUGUUAAGUCCGGGGUGAAAGCCCACUGCUCAACAGUGGAACUGCCCUGGAUACUGGCAAGCUUGAGUCCAGACGAGGUUGGCGGAAUGGAUGGUGUAGCGGUGAAAUGCAUAGAUACCAUCCAGAACCCCGAUUGCGAAGGCAGCUGACUAGGCUGGUACUGACGCUGAGGCACGAAAGCGUGGGGAGCGAACAGGAUUAGAUACCCUGGUAGUCCACGCCGUAAACGAUGGAUACUCGCUGGUGGCGAUAGACAGUCACUGGCUUAGGGAAACCGGUAAGUAUCCCACCUGGGGAGUACGCUCGCAAGAGUGAAACUUAAAGGAAUUGACGGGGUCAUAGCUGUUUCCU